rnacentral:rRNA from 1 species
UACAGAGGUCUCAAGCGUUUGUUCGGAUUCAUUGGGCGUAAAGGGUGUGUAGGUGGCGCGCUAAGUCGGGUGUGAAAUUUCGGAGCUUAACUCCGAAACUGCAUUCGAUACUGGCGUGCUUGAGGACUGGAGAGGAGACUGGAAUUCAUGGUGUAGCAGUGAAAUGCGUAGAGAUCAUGAGGAAGACCAGUGGCGAAGGCGGGUCUCUGGGCCGAUAUUGACGCUGAGGAGCGAAAGCGUGGGGAGCAAACAGG